rnacentral:lncRNA from 1 species
UGGGAGGAAGAUGUUACAAAUAUACAGUAUGGGCAACUAUGAUAUAAAUCAGUGACAACCUUUAACCACCGGGCAAGGGGAAGAUGAUAGAAGUGAGGACAGGAAGAGAAAUGCAGCAUUCUAGAAUGGUUUGUUGUUGUUUUUCCAAAAGAAAAGACUUAGACCCUAAAUCCAACUUAAUUCGACUCUGAGACUCAUCUGAAUAAAUGUUAAGAUUGCUAAUCUUGUCAUACAUUCUUUUGAGGGUAUAGAAGGAAACUGGUACUCACCACAAGGAGUGUUCCUAUGGGAUGGUGGAAGGAUUCUGCAGAAAUAAAUGACAGUCAUCCUGACCUAGCUGUCAUCCACGCUGUACAGUAUGCAUGGAUCCUUACUGCAUCAAGCUGCCGGAAAAGCGGGGACCUUUCUGCAGAGCAUGAAACAAAAACUGCCUAACCGUCUGCUCCGUUAGGCCAUCAAAGAUUCAAGCAAGCAGCAAGCAGAAAGAGAGAGAGCCCAAAGAUAAGGUAUGAUUGACUAUCGUCUCAAAAGAGCCACUGCUCCAG